UUACUGGGCGUAAAGCGGGCGCAGACGGUUACUUAAGCAGGAUGUGAAAUCCCCGGGCUCAACCUGGGAACUGCGUUCUGAACUGGGUGACUAGAGUGUGUCAGAGGGAGGUAGAAUUCCACGUGUAGCAGUGAAAUGCGUAGAGAUGUGGAGGAAUACCGAUGGCGAAGGCAGCCUCCUGGGAUAACACUGACGUUCAUGCCCGAAAGCGUGGGUAGCAAACAGGAUUAGAUACCCUGGUAGUCCACGCUGUAAACGAUGUCGAUUUGGGGGUUGAGCUUUGAGCUUGGCGCCCGUAGCUAACGUGAUAAAUCGACCGCCUGGGGAGUACGGCCGCAAGGUUAAAACUCAAAUGAAUUGACGGGGGCCCGCACAAGCGGUGGAUGAUGUGGAUUAAUUCGAUGCAACGCGAAGAACCUUACCUGGUCUUGACAUGUACGGAACCCUCCAGAGACGGAGGGGUGCCUUCGGGAGCCGUAACACAGGUGCUGCAUGGCUGUCGUCAGCUCGUGUCGUGAGAAG
rnacentral:rRNA from 1 species